CUACGGGUGGCAGCAGUGGGGAAUAUUGGACAAUGGGGGAAACCCUGAUCCAGCAAUGCCGCGUGUGUGAAGAAGGCCUGCGGGUUGUAAAGCACUUUCGGUUGGGAGGACUGCUUCUAGCACUAAUAUUGUUGGAAGUUGACGUUACCUUCAGAAGAAGCACCGGCUAACUCCGUGCCAGCAGGCCGCGGUAAUACGGAGGGUACAAGCGUUAAUCGGAAUUACUGGGCGUAAAGCGCGCGUAGGCGGCUAGAUCAGUCGGGUGUGAAAGCCCCGGGCUUAACCUGGGAACUGCAUCCGAUACUGUCUAGCUUGAGUACAGGAGAGGAGAGUGGAAUUCCACAUGUAGCGGUGAAAUGCGUAGAUAUGUGGAGGAACACCAAUGGCGAAGGCAGCUCUCUGGCCUGAUACUGACGCUGAGGUGCGAAAGCGUGGGGAGCAAACAGGAUUAGAUACCCGAGUAGUC
rnacentral:rRNA from 1 species